GGUGAACGCUGGCGGUGCGCCUAAUACAUGCAAGUCGAACGAGACCUUGACUGAGUUUACUUAGUUAAGUGAAAGUGGCGGACGAGCGAGUAACACGUAAGAACCUGCCCCGUACUCAGGGAUAACUGGUCGAAAGAUCAGCUAAUACCGGAUGGUCCAGAAAUGGUAAAGAUUUAUCGGUACGGGAGGGGCUUGCGGCCUAUCAGUUUGUUGGUGAGGUAAAGGCUCACCAAGACUAUGACGGGUAGCUGAUGUGAGAGCAUGAUCAGCCGUGAUGGAACUGAGACACGGUCCAU
rnacentral:rRNA from 1 species